AAGCAGUGGAGGGUGGGGUGGUGGAGAGGGAGAUGCCAUAGCAUCAAAGAGUAUGUGUCAAGGAAUAAAGUAUAAGAAGCCUGGAAAGGUUAGAGUAGGGACUAAAUUAUGAAGAGCUUUGACUCGGACUUUAGGAAAUUUUCCAAAAAGUCUUGAAAUGAAAAGGAGUUUCUCGUUAAGCAUUAGUUACUAACUAGAAAGUUAAAUUAUCCAGAACCUCCAUUCCCUAGACAUUCUACCUAUUUGUGAUUUUAUAGAAUUAUCACUCUUUAGAAACCAAGCAGAAAACACAGGCCUGAGAGAAAUUAGGCUGUUACUAAAAACAGAUGCUAUAUCUGAAAUGAUAAAUCUGUCUCCCCAGUAAGAUGAGACAUGUCUGUGAGUUAUGGUAGAUGACAGACUGAACUUUGAUGAGAAAUCACUCUGUCCUGUUCUCCCUUCCCGAUUAGAUCACCAUCACCUUUACCAUCAUUAAGGCAUAUUCUGUGUCAGCUCAGGGACCAUGUGUGAGUGGGUAAGACUCAUCUGGAAACUGAGAAGGCUAUGGAUAAUCAGUUGAUUUGCAGGGUCCAGAUUCUUACCAUAUUCUCAGCUGGAUAAAGAAAGUAGUCCGUCCCUGGCUCAAGCCACCAAUUCUGACCCUACCCUAUGGGAACCUAUUUUGGACAUCAAAAGUUGGGGAAAAGCUACUGUUUCCUUCUCCUGUCGUUUUUGGUUGGGAACUCUGAAGAGAAGUAUCACAUGUGGCAGAGAGGUAAAAAAAGGAUGGGAAAAGAACCUCAGAUUUGGCAGUUAAGAAAUCACUGACUGUCUUGGAGAGAACAGUUUAGGUGAGUGGUGAAGUAGAAGACUGUUGCAAGCAGUAGAGAAUAAAGCAGAAAGGGAAAUGGAAUCA
rnacentral:lncRNA from 1 species